UACGAAGGGUGCAAGCGUUAAUCGGAAUUACUGGGCGUAAAGGGUGCGUAGGCGGUUGUUUAAGUCUGUCGUGAAAUCCCCGGGCUCAACCUGGGAAUGGCGAUGGAAACUGGGCAGCUAGAGUGUGUCAGAGGGGGGUAGAAUUCCACGUGUAGCAGUGAAAUGCGUAGAGAUGUGGAGGAAUACCGAUGGCGAAGGCAGCCCCCUGGGAUAACACUGACGCUCAUGCACGAAAGCGUGGGGAGCAAACAGG
rnacentral:rRNA from 1 species